GGGGCGAAGCGGAUAGAGUUGACGAAACUGGUAGUAAUCAUUGCACAGUGCUGCCUGGCUGCGUUCGUGCUGCUUGGGUUUCCAAGGCGGACGUAGUCUUAGCUUGCUGGUAUUGCGCACGCUUUUACUGCUGGUAGUGCCGAUUGCCUCGGUUGCUCCUUCUGAACCGUUGAGUUGAGGCCCACUUCGGUGGUCACCUGCUUGAUGGGGAGGUUGUGUAGUGGCUGGGGUUCAUGAGUCCGGCCUUUGCGAGGGAUGCUUGUGUCUGCAUUCGAGGAAUCUUCUGGCAGGUCCAGGGUGAACUUGGGUGUUUGGUGCAGUGUAUACUUCGUUGGACUUGUUUUCGGCUUGAAAGUUGACCACCUAUCCGACCCGUCUUG
rnacentral:rRNA from 1 species